rnacentral:rRNA from 1 species
CCCGGUAGCUAAAUGCGGAAGAGAUAAGUGCUGAAAGCAUCUAAGCACGAAACUUGCCCCGAGAUGAGUUCUCCCUGAGACUUUAAGUCUCCUGAAGGAACGUUGAAGACGACGACGUUGAUAGGCCGGGUGUGUAAGCGCAGCGAUGCGUUGAGCUAACCGGUACUAAUGAACCGUGAGGCUUAACCUUAC